CUGGUUGUCUGGUCACAGAGGAAGGCUGUGCUUCUCUGGAUUCAGCUCUGAGGUCAAACCCCUCCCACCUGAGAGAACUGGACCUGAGCUACAAUCACCCAGGAGACUCUGGAGUGAAGCUGCUCUCUGCUAGACUGGAGGAGAUCCACACUGUAGACUGGAUAAACUCAAUGUGGACUUGUGUGGAGAGUGCAGGAUCAAACCAGGCCUGAGGAAAUAUUCCUGUGAGCUCACCCUGGACCCAGAUUCUGCACACAUUGACCUGAGGCUGUCUGAGGAU